rnacentral:rRNA from 1 species
GGCGUAGGCGGUUUUUCAAGUCAGGAGUGAAAGGCUAUGGCUCAACCAUAGUAAGCUCUUGAAACUGUUAAACUUGAGUGCAGGAGAGGAAAGUGGAAUUCCUAGUGUAGAGGUGAAAUUCGUAGAUAUUAGGAGGAACACCAGUGGCGAAGGCGACUUUCUGGACUGUAACUGACGCUGAGGCACGAAAGCGUGGGGAGCGAACA